ensembl:lncRNA
UGCAUGUGUAUUAUAUAGUUUGUUAUAAAAACAUUGUUUUCAUAUGUAGUUUACAAGUUAUAAAAAUAUAGUUAAAAAUGUACACACAUACACAUGUGUAUACACAUGUAUAUAUGUAUACGUGUGUGUGUGUGUGUGUGUGUGUGUGUGUGUGUGUGUGUGUGUGUGUGUGUGUACAGUUUACAAGCUCCCACCAAUGAGUUUCUUUUAGCCAAGCAUGGAACAACAAAACAUACUCCCUAUGCAAACAGGGAUAAACUCUGGGGUGGGAUGGUGGGGAGAACAUACAGGGAAAACAGGUAGCUUAGGAGAGGCCUGUCUAAGGUGACAUUCUUGCGAAAAGGCUUUUCUUUGUCCAGAUACUUCUGCUUACUCCCUCUGGUCAUCAAUCAGGCUUCCAGUUUCUCUGCUUCUCUCUGCUGAACUGGUCUCUCCACUGGUCUGCAGCCUCCAGCUCUAUAGAUCCCAGCUCCAGGGCCUGUUUAGCUCUUUUAUAAUUUUUGAUUCUAGCCAGUUAAGCCUGGGUGGCUGGCUAGAGAAAGCCCUCAGGCUUUUGAACUGAACUCCCCUGCUGCCAUUCAUACACCUUCAGUUUAAACUAUUUAUUUGAGUUGUGGUCAGAAAAUUCCUUUGAACUCCCAUCAAACGCCAGGACACCUAGGAUCUUUACAAAUCAUUCUAGAAAUUCCAUUUAGCAAAAACUGCAAAGGAAUUGGCUGUGAGUAUGUGAGAGACAGACAGACAUAGAGACAGAGAAAGAGGGAGAGAGAGAAAAAGAGAGAGGGAGGGGGGACAGAGGGAGGGAGGGAAGAGGAUAAGGGUGAGGGAGCCAGACAGAGAAAUAGAGAGAAAGGAGAGGGAGAAUCAGAGAAACAGAAAGGGAGAGAGAGAGGGAGGGAGAGAGGCAAAGAAAGGGAGAGGGAGAGAGAGAAAGAGAAAAGGAGAGAGAAAGGGAGAGAGAGAGAAAGGAAGGGAGAGAGAAAAGGAGAGAGAGACAGGGAGAGAGAGAGAGAGAGAUUGAGAGAGAGAGAGAGAGAGAGAGAGAGAGAGAGAGGAGAUACAGGGAGAGAGAGAGAGAGAGAGAGAGAGAGAGACAGGGAGAGAGAGAGAGAGAGAGAGAGAGAGACAGGGAGAGAGAGAGAGAGAGAGACAGGGAAAGAGAGAGAGAGAGAGAGAGAGAGAGAGAGAGAGAGAGAGAGAGAGAGAGAGAGAGAGAGAGAGAGAGAGAGAGAGAGAAAUUUGUCCUUCCUCAACCCUCAGUGGAGAGCUUUGCCACUAAGAGAGACAGAUUCAUCUGGAAGCUUUUUCUUCUUUUAACAGAAGCAACACUCCAUCUCAUUGCCAUUGUUAUGGGCGGAGAAGACCCAGGAGCCACUUCAAGUUUGCCACAUCAUUCUCAGAGCCAAGUCCUUUCAGCACUGGUCCAUCACUGGGCCAGAUAAAGGCAGGAAGUUCAUUCUCCCCCAAAGCCCAAGCAAUGAAUACAAACCUUUGGAAGGCUCAGUAACUUUCCAGGGGAUCUCUAGGCUCAGGCUUCUUUGCAUGGCCCUCUCUUUCCGGCUGGUUCAUUUAGCCUGUACCCUGGAGCUUCAUAUCCCAACACAAUACUCUCUAGGGUUUAGGAUUAUAACCCCAAAGAGCUCCAGGGGUGUCUUUUCUAAUGACUGUAACUCACAAAUGGUUCUUUCUAUGAUCAUUUAGCUGAUAUGUCAGCUAGACUUAAUUAACUUUUGUUGUUCAGUUGUUUCCAGGAGAAUAUAACUUUCUGACCCCAUUUGAGGUUUUCUUGGCAAAGAUCCUGGAGUGGUUUGCCAGCCCCAUUUUAUAGAUGAGGAAACUGAGGCAAACAGGGUUAAGUGACUUGCCCAGGGUCUCACCUCAGAUUUAUGGCAGUUGGGAUCCUGGGCAAGUCACUUAAUCUUUCUCAGACUCAAUUUUCCUACCUGUACAAUGGAGAUAAUAAUAAAGAUAAUAAUGACAAUUACCUCUCCA